rnacentral:lncRNA from 1 species
UUUUUCUCUGUUGUGGUGGGUUUAUUCUUUUUCACUGGAUCUAUCGAUUUUUGGCUCAAAAGGGACGUGGGUUUUGUUGUUUUCGAAACGGGUUUUGUCGAGUUUGUAGUUUUGGAAACGGGUUUUGUGGAAUUUGCAGUUUUGGAAGUGGGUUUUGUGGAAUUCGUAGUUUUGGAAGUGAGUUUUGUGGAAUUCGACGGUUUUAAUGUCGAAUUCAAUGGUUUAGAGGUGGGUUUUGUAAGAUUCAAAGGUUUUGAAGUCGAAUUAAGCUUCUUCACAAUAGGUUUCUCUUGAAGUUUAGUGGCUUUGGUCGAGGUUUUAUU